GUUAGGCUAGCUUAGUUUUGAUAGUGUAGACUAAAGAUGUAAAGGUCACUAGUUCGAUCCUAGUUCUGGGCAACU